UACGUAGGUGGCAAGCGUUGUCCGGAAUUACUGGGCGUAAAGAGCGCGCAGGCGGUCGUUCAAGUCGAGUGUGAAAGCCCCCGGCUCAACUGGGGAGGGUCACUCGAUACUGAUCGACUUGAAGGCAGGAGAGGGAAGCGGAAUUCCCGGUGUAGUGGUGAAAUGCGUAGAUAUCGGGAGGAACACCAGUGGCGAAGGCGGCUUCCUGGCCUGUUCUUGACGCUGAGGCGCGAAAGCUAGGGGAGCAAACGGG
rnacentral:rRNA from 1 species